GCACCUUCGGGUGAGCGGCAGACGGGUGAGUAACGCGUGGGAACGUGCCCUUUGGUACGGAACAACUGAGGGAAACUUCAGCUAAUACCGUAUGUGCCCUUCGGGGGAAAGAUUUAUCGCCAUUGGAGCGGCCCGCGUUGGAUUAGCUAGUUGGGGGGGUAAAAGCCCACCAAGGCGACGAUCCAUAGCUGGUCUGAGAGGAUGAUCAGCCACACUGGGACUGAGACACGGCCCAGACUCCUACGGGAGGCAGCAGUAGGGAAUCUUGCGCAAUGGGCGAAAGCCUGACGCAGCCAUGCCGCGUGAAUGAUGAAGGUCUUAGGAUUGUAAAAUUCUUUCACCGGGGAAGAUAAUGACGGUACCCGGAGAAGAAGCCCCGGCUAACUUCGUGCCAGCAGCCGCGGUAAUACGAAGGGGGCUAGCGUUGCUCGGAAUUACUGGGCGUAAAGGGCGCGUAGGCGGACAGUUUAGUCAGAGGUGAAAGCCCAGGGCUCAACCCUGGAAUUGCCUUUGGUACUGGCUGUCUUGAGUUCGGGAGAGGUGAGUGGAAUGCCGAGUGUAGAGGUGAAAUUCGUAGAUAUUCGGCGGAACACCAGUGGCGAAGGCGACUCACUGGCCCGAUACUGACGCUGAGGCGCGAAAGCGUGGGGAGCAAACAGGAUUAGAUACCCUGGUAGUCCACGCCGUAAACGAUGAGUGCUAGUUGUCGGCAUGCAUGCAUGUCGGUGACGCAGUUAACGCAUUAAGCACUCCGCCUGGGGAGUACGGUCGCAAGAUUAAAGCUCAAAGGAAUUGACGGGGG
rnacentral:rRNA from 1 species